rnacentral:rRNA from 1 species
UACGAAGGGGGCUAGCGUUGUCCGGAAUCAUUGGGCGUAAAGAGCGUGUAGGCGGCUAGGUAGGUCCGUUGUGAAAACUCGAGGCUCAACCUCGAGACGCCGAUGGAAACCAUCUAGCUAGAGUCCGGAAGAGGCGAGUGGAAUUCCUGGUGUAGCGGUGGAAUGCGCAGAUAUCAGGAGGAACACCGAUGGCGAAGGCAGCUCGCUGGGACGGUACUGACGCUGAGACGCGAAAGCGUGGGGAGCAAACAGG